CCUACGGGAGACAGCAGUGAGGAAUAUUGGUCAAUGGGCGGAAGCCUGAACCAGCCAAGUAGCGUGCAGGAUGACGGCCCUACGGGUUGUAAACUGCUUUUAUACGGGAAUAACGCGCCUUACGUGUAGGGCUUUGCAUGUACCGUAUGAAUAAGGACCGGCUAAUUCCGUGCCAGCAGCCGCGGUAAUACGGAAGGUCCGGGCGUUAUCCGGAUUUAUUGGGUUUAAAGGGAGCGUAGGCCGCAUGUCAAGCGUGCUGUGAAAUGUCCGGGCUCAACCCGGGCCUUGCAGCGCGAACUGGCGAGCUUGAGUCCGCGGAAAGCAGGCGGAAUUCGUAGUGUAGCGGUGAAAUGCUUAGAUAUGACGAAGAACACCGAUUGCGAAGGCAGCUUGCUGCAGCGGAACUGACGCUGAUGCUCGAAAGCGCGGGUAUCGAACAGGAUUAGAUACCCUUGUAGUC
rnacentral:rRNA from 1 species